rnacentral:rRNA from 1 species
UACGUAGGGGGCGAGCGUUGUCCGGAAUCAUUGGGCGUAAAGCGCGUGUAGGCGGCCGACCAAGUCCGGUGUGAAAGCUCAGGGCUCAACCCUGAGUCUGCACUGGAAACUGGCCGGCUUGAGUCCGGAAGAGGAGACUGGAAUUCCUGGUGUAGCGGUGAAAUGCGCAGAUAUCAGGAAGAACACCGGUGGCGAAGGCGGGUCUCUGGGACGGUACUGACGCUGAGACGCGAAAGCGUGGGGAGCAAACAGGAUUAGAAACCCCAGUAGUCC